rnacentral:rRNA from 1 species
AUUGAACGCUGGCGGCAGGCUUAACACAUGCAAGUCGAGCGAGCGGCGGACGGGUGAGUAAUGUCUGGGAAACUGCCUGAUGGAGGGGGAUAACUACUGGAACCGGUAGCUAAUACCGCAUACCAUCAGAUGUGCCCAGAUGGGAUUAGCUAGUAGUUGGGGUAAUGGCUAACCUAGGCGAAGAUCCCUAGCUGGUCUGAGAGGAGGACCAGCCACACGGGAACUGAGACACGGUCCAGACGCCUACGGGAGGCAGCAGUGGGGAAUAUUGCACAAUGGGCGCAAGCCUGAUGCAGCCAUGCCGCGUGUUGGAAGAAGGCCUUCGGGUGGUAAAGCACUUUCAGCGAGGAGGCGGGACUCGCAGAAGAAGCACCGGCUAACUCCGUGCCAGCAGCCGCGGUAAUAC